GACGACUGUAGUGGCGAUGCUCGCAGCGAGGGUCAGUGAGAAAAGCGAGCGAGAGAGCGAGGAUCAGUGUGGUGCUCGCGGCUAUCAGUGGGCUGCCAGUGGUUGCCCUGGGCACCACCUGCGCGGAUGGAGCCUACUCGUGUACCCAGGGGCCCUGGUCCGCGUCUCGUUUUUCUCUUUGCCACGCUCGUUCUUACCUUUGCAGCAACCGGUUUGUUGUGUGGAGCAAUAAUGACCGAUCAUUGGGAGGAGGUUGGCUGGGAUAAAGAAGCCCUCAUUCAUGCCAAUGUUAGUCUCACAUGGUUGGAUGAUCAAGUGGCAAUGUUAGAGGCACCACCUGCUCACAGAAAUCAUCAUCGUGGUAGACGUGGCUCUUUCUUGGUACCCAUGCACGGUGGAAUCUGGACGAUGUGCGUCUCAUUAUCGGACGACGAAAUACGACUACUGGGUCAGGUGGGCUUUCCGCAAGAGAGAUGCAUUAACUACUUGACACCCGACGAGGCACACGAAGAAAUCCGCGUUGCGUGGCAGAAUCGGAUGCAGAAUUUAAGUAUUUCUUGCUCCCUCGUUUGUCUGAUAAUCCUCGGCACCGCCGUGCUAAUAGGAUUUUUUGGCUUGUGCAGACAUCAAAUAUCAGCCGUUCUUGUUACAGGAGUGAUGUAUUUAUUGGCAGCGACAUUUGCGCUCUUCACGUUGACCAUCAUACACUUCAAGAGAGCUCAAGACCGAGGUAUUCGUAUAAUUAAUGGUCCGGAAGAUGGCGUGAUAGGCGGACCGGUGUCACGUGCCAUUCUAAAAGCACGUCGUUUUACGACCUCUUGGAGCAUGGAUUUUGGAUGGGGUGGUGUAACCCUGUGCGCUCUCGCCUCGGUAGCUUGGAUUUUGCUUAGCAAGAUAAUGCGUUUUAGUCCAAUCGCAGCCAUGAUUGCGUAGCAGUGGGAGGCCUUCGAGGUCUAAGGUCAUUUUGCGACUGGUGUCUAUUGCGAUAGAGGAUUUCUGAAGUAAGAUGAGAAGAACAAGAAGAGAGAGAGAGAGAGAGGAGAGAGAGAAACUAACCUUUCUCAAGAUACAUCGAAGCCAAGAAGAGGAAUAAAGAUCGUACGUACGUGCGUCUCUUUUUACGCGUGAUUUGAAAUCACACGUAAUUGGAUGUGAUAAAAAAAAUAUAUGCGAGAUACGAUAGUAUAAUACUAGAGAUCGAUGAUGUGUCGGUAUAAAAAUAUCGUUCCAUUGCACUUCCAGGGUAUAUAGGUUAUAUUAUUGAACCUCGGAGUGUAACUACGAUCUAAUGAUUUGAUAAGGAUUUAAAUAUGAAUCGUCCGAUGAAGUUCUGCAGUAAGUCGAUGACCGAUCAUUUUUAUAAACAUUAUAUAUUUAAUACGGAAUAUCGGCGUGCUGCUGUACUUUUACCAUUUUAGAAAGCUUUUGCAUUUGAUGGCGAUAUAAGUGUUUGUAAAUGUCGCGGAAGAUACGCACGUAAUUAUGAUCAUAGUUAUAAAAUUUCGAUCUUUACAGUAUCAGAAAGUCACGUUGGCAUCCGUUUUGAAAAAUCUCUAUCGAGCAUGAAUAUUCAAUGAAAUUGACCAUCUCGAAGGCACUAUAAAUUUCUCUAUACAAAAUAACAUUAGUUUAUGUACGCUUCGUACACUUUUUACUUAAGUUUCAUCUUUACGAAACACAUGACAGAAUAGUUUGUGGCAGGCAGUUAGAUAAUAUUCUAAAUACAAUAUUUUGUACCGGUUAAUGAGAAUCCCAAUCAUUCUAGAUAGCUUAUUUUGACAUGAGUAAAUCCUGAUUGGAAGGAUUAGUUUUAUGUAGGUAUUUUUAGAGAUCAAAUUUAAUUUUCAUUCUUGUUACUAUGCCUAUGUAUAUUUUUAUUAAAGGUCUCAUUCUUAAGAGUAUUUGACAUUCAGGGUAGGGUAUCAGACUGAAAGAACAAACAGUAUUUGCCCUUGUAUUUUAGCUUUUGUUUACAGUCAAAUUAUGUCAUAUUGCAAGAAACAGCUACUUAACUGAUCAAAAUUUGAGAACAAUUAAUACAGAUAAAUUAAAUGAAAAUCUAUUUAUCAUUUGAUGAAGCUUGAAAAGUUAAAAAUACAGUAACUGUUUCUGGUAAUUUGGCUUUAGUCAAUUAAAAUAAAAAAGGCGUAUUGAAGAGUAUAAGGAUCAGCUGAUUAAUUCUAAAUAUAUCCAAAGAUGGCUUUUCUUCUGUAUAUAGUUGCAUUAAUUUCUGUAAAAUUUAGUAGCUAGCAAAGUCACUUAAUGACAAUUAGUAUGAUUGAAAAUGUAUACUAGUUUAUAUAAUUAUCAUUAUCUUGUUAAUAGUUAUAAUAUUUUGCUUUUUCCUUUGUAUUUUAUAUUUCUAAAAUAGUUAAAAAGCAAAGUAAAAUCUGUUAAACUUGUUCUUUCAAGGUUCAAUCUUGAAAUAUAAUACAAUUUUAUUAUUCUCUUAUUUAGUACAAUCCAAUCGCCUUAUAAAUAGAGUAAUAAGCAUGUUUGUAAAGUGCAUAGUUUAGUAUAACAUCGUUCCAGCCAAUUUAAGCAACGAUUGAAUAUGUGCGAUAAGAAAAUAGCUUUUGCUACGACUUGUUACAGCGAAAAUGAAAUUUAAGCCAACAAAAUAUAUUGCAAAUGAAAGGAUUGUGAAUUAUGAUUCGUCCAUUAAUGUUUAAGGAAGAAAAAAAAAA